GAUGAACGCUGGCGGCGUGCCUAAUACAUGCAAGUCGAGCGAACGGACGAGAAGCUUGCUUCUCUGAUGUUAGCGGCGGACGGGUGAGUAACACGUGGAUAACCUACCUAUAAGACUGGGAUAACUUCGGGAAACCGGAGCUAAUACCGGAUAAUAUUUUGAACCGCAUGGUUCAAAAGUGAAAGACGGUCUUGCUGUCACUUAUAGAUGGAUCCGCGCUGCAUUAGCUAGUUGGUAAGGUAACGGCUUACCAAGGCAACGAUGCAUAGCCGACCUGAGAGGGUGAUCGGCCACACUGGAACUGAGACACGGUCCAGACUCCUACGGGAGGCAGCAGUAGGGAAUCUUCCGCAAUGGGCGAAAGCCUGACGGACCAACGCCGCGUGAGUGAUGAAGGUCUUCGGAUCGUAAAACUCUGUUAUUAGGGAAGAACAUAUGUGUAAGUAACUGUGCACAUCUUGACGGUACCUAAUCAGAAAGCCACGGCUAACUACGUGCCACCAGCCGCGGUAAUACGUAGGUGGCAAGCGUUAUCCGGAAUUAUUGGGCGUAAAGCGCGCGUAGGCGGUUUUUUAGUCUGAUGUGAAAGCCCACGGCUCAACCGUGGAGGGUCAUUGGAAACUGGAAAACUUGAGUGCAGAAGAGGAAAGUGGAAUUCCAUGUGUAGCGGUGAAAUGCGCAGAGAUAUGGAGGAACACCAGUGGCGAAGGCGACUUUCUGGUCUGUAACUGACGCUGAUGUGCGAAAGCGUGGGGAUCAAACAGGAUUAGAUACCCUGGUAGUCCACGCCGUAAACGAUGAGUGCUAAGUGUUAGGGGGUUUCCGCCCCUUAGUGCUGCAGCUAACGCAUUAAGCACUCCGCCUGGGGAGUACGACCGCAAGGUUGAAACUCAAAGGAAUUGACGGGGACCUGCACAAGCGGUGGAGCAUGUGGUUUAAUUCGAAGCAACGCGAAGAACCUUACCAAAUCUUGACAUCCUUUGACAACUCUAGAGAUAGAGCCUUCCCCUUCGGGGGACAAAGUGACAGGUGGUACAUGGUUGUCGUCGGCUCGUGUCGUGAGAUGUUGGGUUAAGUCCCGCAACGAGCGCAACCCUUAAGCUUAGUUGCCAUCAUUAAGUUGGGCACUCUAAGUUGACUGCCGGUGACAAACCGGAGGAAGGUGGGGAUGACGUCAAAUCAUCAUGCCCCUUAUGAUUUGGGCUACACACGUGCUACAAUGGACAAUACAAAGGGCAGCGAAACCGCGAGGUCAAGCAAAUCCCAUAAAGUUGUUCUCAGUUCGAAUUGUAGUCUGCAACUCGACUACGUGAAGCUGGAAUCGCUAGUAAUCGUAGAUCAGCAUGCUACGGUGAAUACGUUCCCGGGUCU
rnacentral:rRNA from 1 species